GGCUCGUGACCGUUGGGGGCAGGGAGCUUAGGCACUAGCUGGGUCUGCAGAGAGCGGGAAAAAGGACGGUCAGUGAUUGGAUGCUUUGAAGGUAUGAGCGGCAAGAGUGGGAGAUUUUGAACCAAUUAGAGGAGGCAACAAGAAGACAGACCAAUCACAGGGUAACCCGAGCCCGGGGUGGAGGGGGAGGGCGGUUUUUGUGUCACCGGGCAGAUUGUCCGAAGACUCGAGAUGAAAAUUUUCUCAGCCGAGUUCACGUCGCAGGAGCUUGACCCUGGCCUUCGUUAACUGCUUUUUCUGGGUUUAAAAAUUUCCUCAGCAUUUUUUCUUUUGGAACAGAACUGAGAGGAAAAAUUUGAAAAGAAAUUUAUUGCGACGCUGGAGAAUAAAGGACAGAAUAUUAAAAUAUUUUCUUAUUUCAUAGGCCUGAGCCAGAGAUUCCAAAAUGGACAGCAAUGAUUUUCGUUUCAUGGACUUUAAAGAUUGAAGAAAUGGCGGUAAACCUGUGGAACUGGGCAAUUACCAAUAAAAUGGAUUUGGUGAUAAAUGAAGAACAGAAAGCUAAAGGUAUGUAUACGUUUUGUAACUCAUACUAUGAGGAAUAUUCUUAUUGUACAUCAGAUUGUGUUCCUGUAAUUUAAAUAUUUUGAUCAGUUCUUAAGUGCAUAUUUAUUG
rnacentral:lncRNA from 1 species